rnacentral:rRNA from 1 species
UACGUAGGGGGCUAGCGUUGUCCGGAAUCAUUGGGCGUAAAGAGCGUGUAGGCGGCCCGGUAAGUCCGCUGUAAAAGUCAAAGGCUCAACCUUUGAAUGCCAGUGGAUACUGCCGGGCUAGAGUCCGGAAGAGGCGAGUGGAACUCCUGGUGUAGCGGUGGAAUGCGCAGAUAUCAGGAAGAACACCAACGGCGAAGGCAGCUCGCUGGGACGGUACUGACGCUGGAGACGCGAAAGCGUGGGGAGCGAACAGG